UACGUAGGGGGGCAAGCGUUGUCCGGAAUCAUUGGGCGUAAAGAGCGUGUAGGCGGCCUGGUAAGUCCGCUGUGAAAGUCCAGGGCUCAACCCUGGAAUGCCGGUGGAAACUGUCAGGCUCGAGUCCGGAAGAGGCGAGUGGAAUUCCUGGUGUAGCGGUGAAAUGCGUAGAUAUCAGGAGGAACACCUGCGGUGUAGACGGCUUUCUGGACCAUUGUUGACGCUGAGACACGAAAGCGUGGGUAGCAAACAGG
rnacentral:rRNA from 1 species